UACAGAGGUCUCAAGCGUUUGUUCGGAUUUACUGGGCGUAAAGGGUGCGUAGGAGGUUUUUUAAGUCGAAUGUGAAAUCCCGCAGCUUAACUGCGGAACUGCAUUCGAUACUGAAGAGCUAGAGGGUCGGAGAGGUUGCUGGAAUUCUCGGUGUAGCGGUGAAAUGCGUAGAGAUCGAGAGGAACACCAAUGGCGUAAGCAAGCAACUGGAAGAACCCUGACUCUGAGGCACGAAAGCUAGGGGAGCAAACGGG
rnacentral:rRNA from 1 species